UAGUCCGGAUUGCAGUCUGCAACUCGACUGCAUGAAGUCGGAAUCGCUAGUAAUCGCGGAUCAGCAUGCCGCGGUGAAUACGUUCCCGGGUCUUGUACACACCGCCCGUCAAACAAUGGGAGUGGUGUUUACCAGAAGUCGUUAGCCUAACCGCAAGGAGGGCGGCGACCACGGUGAGCACCGUGACUAAUGUUAAGUCGUAACAAGGUACC
rnacentral:rRNA from 1 species